UCUGAGGUAAGGGCAGGUUGACUGAUCAUUAACCAUUCCUUUUCAGAUGGCCGGUAUCAGGUUGGGGUGAGUUGGAGCACACUGGAGGCCUAAUUGAACCUAAACAGUCUGCUGGAUGUAGCCUGGGAAGACUGUGAGCUCACUGCAUUGUUAUCUGCUGCUCAUAAUUCUGCUGGAUGAAGGACAAGCCAAGAUCAUUCUCACUACAUGGCUAACAGAUGAUUGGCAUCAUGCUGGGGUGAAGUACAGCACACUGCAGGACCAAUUGAACCUAAAAGUUCUUCUGGAGGCA
rnacentral:lncRNA from 1 species